CCUUCUUCUUCUCUCUUUCUCCUUCUUUCCUUUUCUUCCCUCUCUUUCCUUCUUUUCGAUUCGUCGUGCGUGAAAGCUCCCAGGCUUAACCGGGAGAGGACGUGCGAGACUGUCGGACUAGAGGCAGGUAGAGGCAAGUGGAAUUCCGGGUGUAGUGGUGAAAUGCGUAGAGAUCCGGAGGAACACCAGAGGCGAAGGCGACACCCUGGGCCGUACCUGACGCUAAGACGCGACAGCAUGGGGAGCGAACGG
rnacentral:rRNA from 1 species